rnacentral:rRNA from 1 species
GCUUACGGCCAUACCAACCUGGCUAUGCCCGAUCUCGUCUGAUCUCGGAAGCUAAGCAGGUUUGGGCCUGGUUAGUACUUGGAUAAGAGACCGCCUAUGAAUACCAGGUGCUUUAAGCU